UAUCCCCCAAACCAAGGGGGGAUGAGAACCACCGACCGGGGUUCGACACAAAAACGCCGGGAGCGUUUUUGAACAGAGCUUGCUCUGGCCCCGAAGGGGCGAGCAAAGCGAGUCAAUCCCCCCCUUACUGCCA
rnacentral:sRNA from 1 species